AUUGAACGCUGGCGGCAGGCUUAACACAUGCAAGUCGAGCGGAGUGAUGGUGCUUGCACUAUCACUUAGCGGCGGACGGGUGAGUAAUGCUUAGGAAUCUGCCAUUUAGUGGGGGACAACAUUCCGAAAGGAAUGCUAAUACCGCAUACGUCCUACGGGAGAAAGCAGGGGAUCUUCGGACCUUGCGCUAAAUGAUGAGCCUAAGUCGGAUUAGCUAGUUGGUGGGGUAAAGGCCUACCAAGGCGACGAUCUGUAGCGGGUCUGAGAGGAUGAUCCGCCACACUGGGACUGAGGCACGGCCCAGACUCCUACGGGAGGCAGCAGUGGGGAAUAUUGGACGAUGGGCGGAAGCCUGAUCCAGCCAUGCCGCGUGUGUGAAGAAGGCCUUUUGGUUGUAAAGCACUUUAAGCGAGGAGGAGGCUACUAGUACUAUACUACUGGAUAGUGGACGUUACUCGCAGAAUAAGCACCGGCUAACUCUGUGCCAGCAGCCGCGGUAA
rnacentral:rRNA from 1 species